rnacentral:rRNA from 1 species
GACGAACGCUGGCGGCGUGCUUAACACAUGCAAGUCGAACGGAAAGGCCCUGCUUUUGUGGGGUGCUCGAGUGGCGAACGGGUGAGUAACACGUGAGUAACCUGCUCUUGACUUUGGGAUAACUUCAGGAAACUGGGGCUAAUACCGGAUAGGAGCUCCUGCUGCAUGGUGGGGGUUGGAAAGUUUCGGCGGUCGGGGAUGGACUCGCGGCUUAUCAGCUUGUUGGUGGGGUAGUGGCUUACCAAGGCUUUGACGGGUAGCCGGCCUGAGAGGGUGACCGGCCACAUUGGGACUGAGAUACGGACCAGACUCCUACGGGAGGCAGCAGUGGGGAAUAUUGCACAAUGGGCGGAAGCCUGAUGCAGCAACGCCGCGUGCGGGAUGACGGCCUUCGGGUUGUAAACCGCUUUCGCCUGUGACGAAGCGUGAGUGACGGUAAUGGGUAAAGAAGCACCGGCUAACUACGUG